GACGAACGCUGGCGGCGUGCUUAACACAUGCAAGUCGAACAGAAAGGCCCUGCUUGCAGGGUUCUCGAGUGGCGAACGGGUGAGUCACACGUGGGUGAUCUGCCCUCCACUUCGGGAUAAGCCUGGGAAACUGGGUCUAAUACCGGAUAGGAGCCAUUUUUAGUGUGAUGGUUGGAAAGUUUUUUCGGUGUAGGAUGAGCUCGCGGCCUAUCUGCUUGUUGGUGGGGUAAUGGCCUACCAAGGCGGCGACGGGUAGCCGGCCUGAGAGGGUGGACGGCCACAUUGGGACUGAGAUACGGCCCAGACACCUACGGGAGGCAGCAGGGGGGAAGAUUGCACAAUGGGCGCAAGCCUGAUGCAGCGACGCCGCGUGGGGGAUGACGGCCUUCGGGUUGUAAACUCCAUUCGCUAGGGACGAAGCUUGUUGUGACGGUACCUAGAUAAGAAGCACCGGCUAACUACGUG
rnacentral:rRNA from 1 species